rnacentral:rRNA from 1 species
CAAUAGCGUAUAUUAAAGUUGUUGCAGUUAAAAAGCUCGUAGUUGGAUUUGUGGCGUACGGUGUGUUCCGGGCACUUGUUGUCUGAGUAACCUGCUGUUGCCAUCCUUGGGUGGAACCUGUGUGGCAUUAGGUUGUCGUGCAGGGGAUGCCCAUCAUUUACCGUGAAAAAAUUAGAGUGUUCAAAGCAGGCUUAUGCCGUUGAAUAUAUUAGCAUGGAAUAAUGAGAUAGGACUUUUUUGCUAUUUUGUUGGUUUGCGCAAGAAGGUAAUGAUUAAUAGGGACAGUUGGGGGUAUUCGUAUUCCAUUGUCAGAGGUGAAAUUCUUGGAUUUUUGGAAGACGAACUACUGCGAAAGCAUUUACCAAGGAUGUUUUCAUUAA